rnacentral:lncRNA from 1 species
AUGUGCGACCGCAGCUUUCAACGGCCUCCCAGGUGCACGGGCCCCUCACCCCGAUACCCAGGACCCAGAGAGGAUCGGCUGGAAGUGAUGGACACGAAACCACCGCCCCCCGCCCCGGAUAAAGUGGCAGGAGCAGCGACACGGAUCUCUACAAGCUCCCUCUUCCCUCUGCACCCGAGCCGCUUCAGCCUCAGCAGGACACGCAUUCGAAGGAACCUGUCUACAUCCAUGAAAGGUGAAACACGGUUCAGUUGAUUAGGAUGCCAUGCUUUGUCGUAGGGGCGAAGGCUGCUGAUUCAAAGCCUGCUGUCUUGCCUUAAAUAGCAGGGUGGAUGAUUUCAGGGAGUGGGAUAUAAUUGGGUGGUGUUAGUGGCCUGACUGUAAGUCACACCCCUGCCCAUUCUGCAGCUCAGUGUGCUGCGAGGGAGAGGAGUAAGGAAAUCGGGCUGGCAAGUUGCCCAGGGCUCUGCAGACCAGGGUUCUACUGUGGGGGGCAGAGGAAGGACUGAGCGUUGCUGUUUGAGCAUUUGGCCACCAGAUGGCAGCAGAGCUGCUCCCCCUGCAGCUCCUGGAUUCGUCUUCAGGCUCAGAGGCAAGGUUGGAGAUGGGUGUUUGGCACCCGGAGAGGUGCCCAGAGCCUUCCGUUUUGGUACAUGGUGCUUCUGACCCUAUGAGCAAGUAUGCCUCCUAUGAGAGAGGGGAAAUAAUUCUUUGAUCAUAUCUGUGGUUCAAUUCCUACAUGGACAGUUGGCCCAAUGGCUGGUGAGUGGACAGGCUGUCUCAGGUCUGAUUCCCCUUUGUUUGGAGGCCCAACUCUGGACAUAGAAAUAUGUGGAUUAUUUUUUGGCCAUACAGUUUGCUAGAAUCAGGUCUGUUCCAAAUGGAGUUGCGUUCUAGAAAGCUGGCCUUCUGGUUAUGAAUGAACUGUGUUAAACUGGGCGUUUUGGGGGGACAUGAUAAGCUCAUAACUGUGCUCUCUCUCUCCAUGGGUUUCUUCAAGCUUUUUCUUCCCUCCCACCUGAGCCUCUUUCUGUGCUGCCAGAACCUGUUGCAAGGAAGAUACUUCAAACAGGUAACGUGAAUAAAGGCUGGGUGGUGCUUGCUUUCA